CAGCCAACACUAAUAGUAUGGGGAGACCAAGAUCAAAUAUUCCCCAUCGAAUUGGCGUACAGAUUAGAGAGGCACUUGGGGGAGAAUGCAAAGCUAGUAGUAAUAAAGAACACAGGCCAUGCAGUGAAUUUGGAGAAGCCCGGGGAGUUUGCCAAGCACUUGAAAUCAUUCCUCAUUGAUUCUUCUCAGUCAGUUGCUUCCAAGGACGAUCGUGUAGAUUGAACUCAUUCCUCAUCGAUUCACCUCUGUACCUUCUCAUUAUAUGACUUCAUUUCCUGCCUUUUCCAUAACUGCAUUCAAAAUUUUUGUCACCUUUUUUGUUUUCUAAUCCACAAAACUUGUAAAGUUUCGAGACGUUUUAGAGGUAUGAUACCUCUCCAUUGUAUUUAUAAAUAAAAUACAAGUUAUAUAUUUUGAGUAA